CCUGCAAAUCAAGAGGUUCAAAUCUUCGGGUCCAUUUUAAGAAUACCCGUGAGACUGCCCAGGCCAUUAAGGGUAUGCAUAUCCGGAAAGCCACCAAGUAUUUGAAAGAUGUCACUUUGCAGAAGCAGUGUGUGCCAUUCCGACGUUACAAUGGCGGAGUUGGUAGGUGUGCCCAGGCCAAACAGUGGGGUUGGACACAGGGUCGGUGGCCCAAAAAGAGUGCUGAAUUUUUGCUGCACAUGCUUAAAAAUGCAGAGAGUAAUGCAGAACUUAAGG